rnacentral:rRNA from 1 species
UGGCUCAGAUUGAACGCUGGCGGCAGGCCUAACACAUGCAAGUCGAGCGGAAACGAGUUAUCUGAACCUUCGGGGGACGAUAACGGCGUCGAGCGGCGGACGGGUGAGUAAUGCCUAGGAAAUUGCCCUGAUGUGGGGGAUAACCAUUGGAAACGAUGGCUAAUACCGCAUGAUGCCUACGGGCCAAAGAGGGGGACCUUCGGGCCUCUCGCGUCAGGAUAUGCCUAGGUGGGAUUAGCUAGUUGGUGAGGUAAGGGCUCACCAAGGCGACGAUCCCUAGCUGGUCUGAGAGGAUGAUCAGCCACACUGGAACUGAGACACGGUCCAGACUCCUACGGGAGGCAGCAGUGGGGAAUAUUGCACAAUGGGCGCAAGCCUGAUGCAGCCAUGCCGCGUGUGUGAAGAAGGCCUUCGGGUUGUAAAGCACUUUCAGUCGUGAGGAAGGUAGUGUAGUUAAUAGCUGCAUUAUUUGACGUUAGCGACAGAAGAAGCACCGGCUAACUCCGUGCCAGCAGCCGCGGUAAUACGGAGGGUGCGAGCGUUAAUCGGAAUUACUGGGCGUAAAGCGCAUGCAGGUGGUUUGUUAAGUCAGAUGUGAAAGCCCGGGGCUCAACCUCGGAAUUGCAUUUGAAACUGGCAGACUAGAGUACUGUAGAGGGGGGUAGAAUUUCAGGUGUAGCGGUGAAAUGCGUAGAGAUCUGAAGGAAUACCGGUGGCGAAGGCGGCCCCCUGGACAGAUACUGACACUCAGAUGCGAAAGCGUGGGGAGCAAACAGGAUUAGAUACCCUGGUAGUCCACGCCGUAAACGAUGUCUACUUGGAGGUUGUGGCCUUGAGCCGUGGCUUUCGGAGCUAACGCGUUAAGUAGACCGCCUGGGGAGUACGGUCGCAAGAUUAAAACUCAAAUGAAUUGACGGGGGCCCGCACAAGCGGUGGAGCAUGUGGUUUAAUUCGAUGCAACGCGAAGAACCUUACCUACUCUUGACAUCCAGAGAACUUUCCAGAGAUGGAUUGGUGCCUUCGGGAACUCUGAGACAGGUGCUGCAUGGCUGUCGUCAGCUCGUGUUGUGAAAUGUUGGGUUAAGUCCCGCAACGAGCGCAACCCUUAUCCUUGUUUGCCAGCGAGUAAUGUCGGGAACUCCAGGGAGACUGCCGGUGAUAAACCGGAGGAAGGUGGGGACGACGUCAAGUCAUCAUGGCCCUUACGAGUAGGGCUACACACGUGCUACAAUGGCGCAUACAGAGGGCAGCCAACUUGCGAAAGUGAGCGAAUCCCAAAAAGUGCGUCGUAGUCCGGAUUGGAGUCUGCAACUCGACUCCAUGAAGUCGGAAUCGCUAGUAAUCGUGGAUCAGAAUGCCACGGUGAAUACGUUCCCGGGCCUUGUACACACCGCCCGUCACACCAUGGGAGUGGGCUGCAAAAGAAGUAGGUAG